CCUACGGGCGGCAGCAGUGAGGAAUAUUGGUCAAUGGACGAGAGUCUGAACCAGCCAAGUAGCGUGAAGGAUGACUGCCCUAUGGGUUGUAAACUUCUUUUAUAUGGGAAUAAAAUGUUCCACGUGUAGGAUUUUGUAUGUACCAUAUGAAUAAGGAUCGGCUAACUCCGUGCCAGCAGCCGCGGUAAUACGGAGGAUCCGAGCGUUAUCCGGAUUUAUUGGGUUUAAAGGGAGCGUAGGUGGAUUGUUAAGUCAGUUGUGAAAGUUUGCGGCUCAACCGUAAAAUUGCAGUUGAAACUGGCAGUCUUGAGUACAGUAGAGGUGGGCGGAAUUCGUGGUGUAGCGGUGAAAUGCUUAGAUAUGACGAAGAACACCGAUUGCGAAGGCAGUUCACUGGACUGCAACUGACACUGAGGCUCGAAAGUGUGGGUAUCAAACAGGAUUAGAUACCCCUGUAGUC
rnacentral:rRNA from 1 species